UACGUAGGGUGCAAGCGUUGUCCGGAAUUAUUGGGCGUAAAGAGCUCGUAGGCGGUCUGUCGCGUCGGCUGUGAAAUCCCGAGGCUCAACCUCGGGUCUGCAGUCGAUACGGGCAAACUGGAGUGUUGCAGGGGAGACUGGAAUUCCUGGUGUAGCGGUGGAAUGCGCAGAUAUCAGGAGGAACACCGGUGGCGAAGGCGGGUCUCUGGGCAGUAACUGACGCUGAGGAGCGAAAGCAUGGGGAGCGAACAGG
rnacentral:rRNA from 1 species